UGCGGAGUGAGCUGGUGUUUGGGAUGAAAUACUGCUUGGAGUCCCCGGGGCUGGACGGUGCCCUCCAUCCAUCCCUUCCUCCCUCCAUCCCUCCACAGGAUGCUCCAUAUUCCUAUUUUUGAACCCACAUCUCCAUAGGAGGCUGAGCAGACCCCACAAACCGCCUGGAAGCGGGAUGGAGCUACGGUUUCACUGCAGAGCUGCUAUUGUCCGGGCUCCCCAGAUGAGAGGGACUUUCCUGUUUUCAUUGUUCCAGACGCUGGGAUCUAUUCUUGCUCUAUUUUUCCUUCCUGCCUGUGCACGUUGGGAGGAGUGGGAUGUUGCCCCAGGUUCGUGACCAACAGCUCCUGGCAGCAGCACCUUUCCCAGCUGUGUGGAGAGCCCCAGGAGAGCUGCCAGCAUGUGAUAUUGAGUAACUAUUGUCAGCAUCUCUAUUUGUAGUAACCAUUUUUAUGUUGUUUGUCACUGCAUCCUUCGUGUUGUGCAGUGGAGCACUGGGGGGCGAGCAGGCAUUUCCCAAUCCAGGAUAUGAAGCAAGCUGGCAACUCACUGGAGGCUUCUCCAACAGUGAAUUUCACUGAACAAAGCAAACAAGGAUGCUGCCUGCUCGGAGAUGGGCUGUGGUCUGCUCCCGGUCACUGGUUCUUUACAGGCUCUUGCUCUUGUGUAAUGAGCACAACACAUCUCUCCCUUCCAUGAGAGGUGUUUGGUAGGAGACAGUUCUGUGAACCUCUGUACUGGGUUUGUUUUAGUUUUAUUCAGACUAAGGAGUGCAGUUUAAGGGUUUUCUUUCGUGGCAUCUGUUGUUGCAGUACCUGAGAAGCAAAUUGCUAGGUCCUCACCCUCAUAGUAUGUGCACAGACUUAGUAGCUGCCAUAAAGCAUCCAACUAACUUCAAAACAGCUGAAGCUGAAGGCUCUAAAACCUGCCUGAGGUGCAGAUUAAAUACCUCACAGUUUGGUCCAAGUCCAUCAGCAAACUUAGACAAAAUUCCCUGGAAAAGCUGACUUGUUUCGAGUCUGUUUAGAUGAGUCUGCACAAGCAGCUCGUCCAUCAGUGACAGGGAGAUGGGGGAUAUCCCUGCUUAGUCACUCCUUGUUACAGAAAUCUGUUCCUUCCACGCUUGUGCUUAUGGAGGCUCAGUUUAUUCCCAAUUUCUUACAUCUCCUUUUGUUAUUUUUCUUAGAAAUGUGAUUUUUGCAGCUUUUUGCUUUGCUUUCACCCAACUGCUCCAUACUUUGGGGUUUUUUUCCUUACCACAGCCAUGCUCAAAGAUGCUUCUCAGAGAUAAUAAAUGUCAUAAGACUGCUGCGGUUUCUGGGGAGACUUAAAUUAGUAUCUUUUCCUUUAAAUACCCUGAGCUAAAGCUCCCUUUGUUUGUGAUCUUGUGCCUAUACAAAAAUAGGUCAGUGAUUCUGUGCCGGCAGCGGCUCCGGGCGCCGGCGCGGCUGCAGGAGGAGGCACAGAGCCGCGGCACAGCCAUAGAUGCUUCCUGAGGUUUCUCCAGUUGCCUUAUGAAGAGAUCAAGACUGUGGUCCUGGAGCUGGAGGAGACUGGGCUGAGCACUAAUCCGGUGCAGAACUUGCUCAAGCUUCCACAGCUGGUAAAGCUCAGGAAAACGCAGCUUUGGCAGAGUGUGAGCAGUUGGAGCUUCUGGAAGUGGUGAAAGCAUGGAGAAGGAGAAGCCCAAACUUCUCCAAUCAGCUCUGGGUCUCAUCGGGAGCUGUUGUCACGGAAACAGAGAUCUGCAGAGCCCCGUGCGCUCGGCGUUAACCGCCUCGGUGCCGUGCUGAUGGCAAGGGCAGGAUGUGCUGCAAGGCUGGUGAACCAAGCAAGACCAGCAAAGCCAGCAAGGUGACAAGAGAUAGUGACAUCCUUGAGGACACAGCGGAGAUCAUCAGCUGCUUGAGCUACACAUUGUUCCUGGGCAAAAAACUGCUGGACCAUCAAAAGUUUUCAUGUUUCUGGUGUUCCUGGAGCUUGUCCAUCACAUCACAGGCUGGAAGUUCAGCAUUCCCUUGCGGCACGUGGCACAACCGCCAGUCCCCUCAUGGCGGUGGCUGCAUUCAGCAAGGCUCUUUGUGCUUCCAGUGCACUUCAUGUCUGUUAUCUCGCUCCAAUCCCAGGUGCUUGGCUCAUGCAAACCCACUGGUGCAUGAACCAGAGAGAAUAACAGCGAGCGAGCGGAUGCAGAGCGGCCCUUGGGAAGAGGUAGGAGUGUGCCUUUUGUACAAGAGAUUUGUGCUUGAAAGAGAAAAUGCUGAUUGUAGAGGGGAGAAGAGUUGCUUGGGUUCAGCCUCGAGCAGCUGGUUGGGCAGGGUGGUGCUGGACAUGGUCCAGGGACUCCCCACACUCAAACCAGGGUGAACCAGGAGCACACUAGAAGCAAAGCUUGACCCCUUCUCCUGCCUGGGAAGGGAUGAGGGAGUCAGAAAGAGCAGGUGGGACAGUUAAAUCAGAGAAUGACAGAAUGGUUAGGGUUGGAGUUCUAGUUCCAACCCCCUGCCCCAGGCAGGGACACCUUCCACUAGAGCAGGUUGCUCCAAGCCCCUGUGUCCAACCUGGCCUUGAACACUGCCAGGGAUGGGGCAGACACAGCUUCUCUGGGCACCUUGUGCCAGCGCCUCAGCACCCUCACAGGGAAGAGCUUCUGCCUAAGAGCUCAUCUCAAUCUCCCCUCUGGCAGGUUAAAGCCAUUCCCCUUGUCCUGUCCCUACAGAGCCCCUGUCAAAGCCCCUCUGCAUUCUUGGUGCUGGGGCAUCAGAGGGCUCCUUGCAGGGGCAAGAGCUGUGCCACCCUCGUGCCAGGGGGGUGGUGGGCUCUGCCAGGCUGGUGAGUCCAGGCAGGAGUCGCCUUUGUGCAACCAAAUGCCCAUGGCUGCAUUUAGCAGUCCCAAAAAGCUGCAAAAUGAAAGAGAAAUUGGGGUACGUGAGCUGCACCCUGGCCAGCCUGGAGCCCUGCCCGAGAGCUUUUAUUCUCUUGUAACAGUUCCUUUGAUAUAAAGCCUUUUUUCAUGGCUUUGCAGCUGUGGGCAAGUGAUGGGCCAGUAGCACUGCGUUAUCGUAACAGUUUGUGUGUACAAAUGAUGGAGAAAUAAACAUUAUUUUUAGCACAAAAAA